UAUCAAAUAGGUACUAAACAUUUAAUACAUCAAAUUUUUAUAUAAUCUAAUUCACAACCAAAAUACCAAAACAUGAUCAUUAACUUGCAACAUAAACAUCCUAUAUACAUGCCAUAAGUAACCAACUAUUGAAAUUCAAAAUAUAACAAAUUUAAUGAUUGUAGGUGUGAGCUUCUCAUUGAUCCAAUCGACACGUUUCGGACGUUCAAAAUCUAUAGAAAGGUAAUAAUACGGGUAAGUAUAUAAAAUACUUAAUAAGCUCAUACACUAUACACAUUCACUUACCUCAAAUUCUUAUCAUAAAUAAAUUCAAUAUGAGAUACAAAUAAACCUAUCAAAAUUCAACCCACAUCAUCAAUAUAGAUAUAAUGCCUUGAGCUCAACCAUAUAAACAACCAUAAGUGUAAUACCCCCUACCCGUAUUCAUCGCCGAAAUAUAGUAUGAGGCAUUACCAGAUUUUACCGAAUUUUUUUUUCAAGAUCGAUUUAUCAUAUUCAUAAGAUAAUUUCAUCACAUACCAAAACCAAAAUUUGUUAGUCAUACCAAUGGCUAACCAUAAAUUCAUUUCACAUUAACAUCUAAUUUACUAGCUUAUACAUGCCAUUGAUUUCCAAAAUAAAGUUCCUUUAUGUACCGAGAUCUCAAGAUUGAUAGUGUGAUGUGUCUCCGACCAAAUCCGACCUCCGAGCUCUUAACUCUACAAACAGGGGAAAAAGAAAUAGGGUAAGCACUUUGUGCUUAGUAAGUUCAUGCAACAGGAAUUAUACUUACCAUACUUAUACAUCCAUCAUUUAAUAACACAAGCACACAUCCAAUUCACAUAAACAUAUACCUAUCACAUAAAAACUCAACCUCAUGCAAAUUCAUUACAAAGAUAAAUGAUUGAUGAGCUCAUCAAUUCCAUGAUUUCCAUUUCCUUUUUAUUUUUCCAUAUUUAUCCCAUUGAAUUACUUGGAAUUUCGAUGGAUUUUCAGAGGUACACUUUAGUGUACAAAUCCGGGUCCGUCAAUUCAUAUUCAUGUGCGCACAUUUCCAUUUCAGAGAGCACUCUCCCGCGAACCUCAUCCUUACAGCGGGAUUACCAGUCCAGGCUAAAUCCCCUGUAAUAUAAACUCAUAGAGUAUUGUCGGGAUUACCAGUCCAGGCUAAAUCCCCUGCAAUGACAAUUACUCUAAUGAGCUUGGAUCUAAAUUACCAGUCCAGGCUAAAUUCAGACCCUAAUUCGGAUUACCCGUCCGGGCUAAAUCCAUUUUCCACAUAUUCUUCGGGAGGGCUAUAUCAGAAUAGGAUCACCCGUCCGGGCUAGAUCCUUUUUACCGUCAAUUCCUUUUUUCAGAGAUCCAUCGAAUUUUUCCUUUCAUUCAACCGGGAUUUAUUUCCUCUUUUCAUCAAGAAUAUCAAUACUUCAUCAAUUAUCAUAUAUUAAACAUCCAAAUCAUAUUCACAUCAAUAACAAACAUUUCAAGCAUUUAUGAAUAUAAUUCAAGUUACAUGAACUUACCUCGACAAUUGUUCGUAAAAAAAAAUUUACUAAUCCCGAACUUUUUCUUUUCCUCGAUCUUGCUUCGUAUUUGAAUUUUCUGGAUCUAAAUAAAUAAAUUUAAUCAUUAAUAUAAUACAUUUCAUGUUCAUAUGUAACUUUCUCUACAAUUCCAUUAUUAUUUAUAGUGCAUUCAAAGCUGCCUCACUGAGUCACAGUCACUAAAUUAUUUAUAUCUUGAGAUACAGAACUCCAAAUUAAGAUCCGUUAAUUUUUCCUGAAACUAUACUCACAUAUCUUCUUACCAUAAAAAUUUCAGAAUUUUUGGUUUAGCCAAUAAGUACAGUUUAUUCUUUAAAGUUUCCCCUGUUUCACUGUAUGACAGUUCUGACCCCUCUUCACUUAAAAUUAAUUAUCUCACUGUACAGAGUCAGGAUGAUGCUUCCCUUUAUUUUCUCAGAAAAUAGACUCAUUAAGGAUUCUAAGCAUAUAAAUUAUAACUUAUAAUAAUUUUUUUACAAUUUUUAAUGAUUUUCCAAAGUCAGAACAGGGGAACCCGAAUUCAUUCUGACCUUGUCUCACAAAAUCUAUUAUAUCUCAUGAUUUACAAUUCCAUUGCUUACACCAUUUCUUUUAUAAGAAACUAGGCUCAAUAAGCUUUAAUUUCAUAUUUUAUUCAUCCUAUAAUUCGAUCUCUACAAUUUUUAGUGAUUUUUCAAAGUUAGAGUACUGCUUCUGUCCAAAACUGUUUUAGUGCAUGGUGUUAAUUACCAUUUUUCCCCUAAACUUUCAACAAUGAUAAUUUCGUCCCUGUUCAAUUAACCUCUCAAUUGAGCUGAUUUUUCUCAAUCAACACUUUAUUAUAUCACUUUAAACUACCUUAUAACCUUUGGAAAUCAGAAUUUCAGCACUAAACUUUAAUUCCAAACUUUUUCACAAUUAGGUCCUACAAAUCAAUUUCUAUUGGAAUUACCAAAUAAAAUCAUCUCAUAAACAAAUUAAAGCAUCAAUUUCAUCCUAUUUCCUCAUAAACUUCCAGCACAUAUUCAUAUCAACUUUCAAUAUCAUUCAUAAAAUCAAAAACUAAUGAAUUAAGUAAUAGGACCUAGUUGUAAAAGUCUUAGAAACGCAAAAAUUACAAGAAAAAGGCAAGAAUUAACUCACUUGGUGCAAAAAUUAUGAAAAACCAGCUUGAAGAAACCCUUAGGAUGUUUUUGGCUGAUGAGAGUGCAGAAAAUUAAAGAGAAAUCUAGAUAAUUCCACUUUAGUCCUAACUUUUAAAGCAAAUUUUGUAAUAUUCCAAUUUUACCCUUAUUUCUUCAAUUCUCCUGAUUUUUCUCAGCGUAUGCCGCCCAAAAUAUCUCCUUUUGGGGUUAUUUUCAAUUUAUGUCCCUCCUCAUUUCACAAUUGAGCUAUUUAAUCCCUCUAGUAACUUUUACAUUUUUUUCAAUUUAGUCCUUUUCACUUAAUUGACUACCCAAACAUUAAUAUUUUCUAACGAAAUUUUAAUACCAUAUUACUAACACUUCAUAAAUAUUUAUAAAAAUAUUUUUGACUCAGUUUUACGAGAUCGAAGUCUCGAUAUCUUAUUUUUACCUAAUUCAUUCAAUAAUUUCUUUUUCUAACUAACCACUUAAUCAAUAAAAUUUUUCUAUCGAUAUUUUCAUACGAUUUUUCCUAUCAUAUCAAUAUUCAUGCAAAAAAAUUAAAAUAAAUUUCUCUUUAAAUCGGAUUUGUGGUUACGAAACCACUAUUUCGAUAAUUUUGAAUUUGGGCCAUUACAAUAAGUAUUCUCAUUUCCAAGCAAACUAAUUUUGAUAUCAUAACCGAAAUAUAAUAGUUAUUUAGCCAAUCUCGAAUAGUAUUUCUCCAAGACUUAAAUAACAACCUUUCCAAUGAAAUUUCAUAGAAGACCUCAGUAUAAAAGUGAAAAUGAUAGUUUCUGGUUACCCCUUAGGGUUAAACCUACAUGAUAAAUUGCCUGGCUAGGGCUUCAUAUUCAUGUAUUCUCGAGUUCACAACAUAUGAAGGAACUCGGAACCUAAUCCCGUACUCUUGAGUCCACAACAUAUGCAAGAGCUCAGAACCUAAUCUUGUAUUCUCGAGUCUGCAACAUAUGCAGGAUCUUGAAACCUAUUCUUGUAUUCUUGGGUUCGCAACAUAUGUAGGAGCUCAGAACCAGGGCAAACUCACUAACCUACAUACGAGAAUUUACUAAUUUCAUCGGGAUACAUCUCAGAUUAUAACAUAGUUCAAUCCACCAACAACCAAUAUUAACAAUCUUAAUGUAAUAUAAAAACAUAAACGAAUAGAUUCAUAAUGUAUGAAUUUACUUGUCAAAAUGGUAACAGUUUAACUAUUAGAGACUAGCCGAAAAUUUUCCUUUUCAUCGUACGUCCUCCGAUUGUUGAGAUUCUUGAUCUAAAGUAUAAUUUAUUUAAUCAACCAAUCCAAAUAAUAUAUAACAGUAUAUAAAAAUCAUGUCCUAACUCAAUUUCAUCUAUACCAAAAUUCCUCAAGUUUUACAUUUCUCACAAUUUAGUCCCUAAACCAAAACUAUUAUAAUUUUCACAUUUGAGUUUCGAUUUUGAAAUCACUCUCAAUUUAAUUCUCCAACAGACCAUAUUAAGACAAAUUUUAGAAUUUUUUGUAUGUAUUUUGGUCUUACUGCAUUUUAGUCUCUAAUUUCAAAAUUAACAACUUUUACUUUACAAAUUAGUCCAUUAACAUAUCUAAGCUUCAAAACUAACCAAAUAACCACAAAAGUUUCAAGAAAAAAAUCAAUGGCAACUUUCACAAGCUUUAACAAUUUCACAAAAUAGUCCAUGAGCUAGCGAAAUCAAGCUCUCGGGAUUCCAAAAUCAUAAAAAUUACAAGAAAUAGACCAAAGUUCACUUUACCAAUUUAAGCUUUUAAGUUAGACGAGAGCUAGGGAUUGUUUCUCUCUACCUAUUCAGAUUUAAGGUUGAAGAUGACAACUAAAACUUUGUUUUUCUUUCUUUAUCUUUUUGUUUAAACAAAUUUUAUUAUGUUUUAAUUGAAUAACAUAUAAUGAAAAAUAUUUACAACACCAAUCAUCCAAACACUAUUAAAAAUGGUAUAUUUAUCAUUUAAACCCCUUAGCAACCCUUAAUUAUGUUUUUUAGUUAAUAGAAAUCAAUAAAGAUCAAUUUUUAUGUCUUUUACGAUUUAAUCCUUUUUCCUUAAUUAACUAGACAAACGACGAAAUUACCAGACCAAAACUUAAUACUACAUUUAAAUAACUUUGUAGAUAUUAAUAAAUAAUAUUUACGAACUCACACGUCAAAAUUGUGGUCCUGAAUCCAUUAUUUCUGAUGCCAAUGAAAACAGGCUAUUACAAUUUAGAUGCAAGUUUCAUUUUAUCCAAUAAAAACUAAUCUGUUAUGCUUUCUGGCCAUAUGCGGAUUAACUUUUAAUUCAAUUUCUAAUUUUUUUUUAUGAAUUUCCAAAGUUACUUUACUACUAUUGUCCCUAAACUAUUUUAGUGAGGUUGGUUAUAUCCAAAUUGCCCAAGAGACACAUCAAACACAUUUUCCUCAUUCACAUUUCAUAUUUAUUCACAUAUACCAAAUUAUAUUCAUUAGUCAUUCCAUGUCAACCAAACUUUUGUAUCACAUUAUUAGUUCAUACAAACCUUAUGAUAAAGGCUUACUAAUUCACCAAUUUUGGAAGCCACUUAUUUCGAACACUUUAAGUCAUGGAACUCAUACAUUUUCAUUACAUAAUAAAUUUGAUGCUUAUUAAACUAUUUUCAUAAUAGUCACACAAAUUCAUUAUUUUUCCUAAACAUUUUAGUGUAGGAAAAGUAAGAGUAUCCAAGGGAACUUGCCUCUUCAAUGAAUAGUAUUAAAAUCCAAGCUCCCCACUUAGAUCCAACCUCAACCAAGAUUGAAACUCCAUUUCUCAAUAUUUCCUCAUUUCCAUACACAUAAAAUUCAACCAAAAUUAACACAAGAUUUUUCUAAGAUUUCACAUGGUAAGCAAUAUCUAAUAACAAGCUAAAAGGGUUAGAAACACCAUUUUUUACCUCAUUGAAGCUUUC
rnacentral:lncRNA from 1 species